rnacentral:rRNA from 1 species
GGGUUGUGAGGUUAAGCGACUAAGCGUACACGGUGGAUGCCCUGGCAGUCAGAGGCGAUGAAGGGCGUGCUAAUCUGCGAUAAGCGCCGGUAAGGUGAUAUGAACCGUUAUAACCGACGAUACCCGAAUGGGGAAACCCAGUGUGACUCGUCACACUAUCAUUAACUGAAUCCAUAGGUUAAUGAGGCGAACCGGGGGAACUGAAACAUCUAAGUACCCCGAGGAAAAGAAAUCAACCGAGAUUCCCCCAGUAGCGGCGAGCGAACGGGGAGGAGCCCAGAGCCUGAAUCAGCAUGUGUGUUAGUGGAAGCGUCUGGAAAGGCGCGCGAUACAGGGUGACAGCCCCGUACACAAAAGCGCAUGUGCUGUGAGCUCGAUGAGUAGGGCGGGACACGUGGUAUCCUGUCUGAAUAUGGGGGGACCAUCCUCCAAGGCUAAAUACUCCUGACUGACCGAUAGUGAACCAGUACCGUGAGGGAAAGGCGAAAAGAACCCCGGCGAGGGGAGUGAAAAAGAACCUGAAACCGUGUACGUACAAGCAGUGGGAGCACCCUUUUGGGUGUGACUGCGUACCUUUUGUAUAAUGGGUCAGCGACUUAUAUUCUGUAGCAAGGUUAACCGUAUAGGGGAGCCGGAGGGAAACCGAGUCUUAACCGGGCGUUAAGUUGCAGGGUAUAGACCCGAAACCC